AAUCUCUGCUCUACCUGUUCUUUGUCCCUGAAGGUCUUGUAAGUAGGAUAUGGCAGAAACCUCUGGGACAUGGGAGAGGAAACUAUGUCCUGAUUUAGAAAUAAAGAAUUCUUUGAAUUAGAACACAGAGCAAAAGGAGGAUCCCAGGAUUGCUGUAUAUGAAGGAUUGAGGAGAAAGCCGGAGGUACUACUUUGACUCACAUUCUACCCAAUGGGAACUCUGAGGAAGCCUAUAGAAGGCCAUGAAAGAAAGAAGACUUUGCUCUUUGCCUGCUUUCCCUCACCUUGCUAACGAAUCUACUCCUUCACUGGCAUUAGAGCCUACUUUGGGAUUGUGGCCAUCUACUGAACCAGCGAAGACAUCCAGCCUCAUGGACUGAGCAACUCUUUGAUUCUUGGAAUUUCUGUUCAUAGCCAGACAUUGUUACAUUAGCUGUACUGCAGCCUGUACAUUGCUCUUAAAAACGCCCCUUCUACAUACAUAUGUAUAUAAAUUCAUUCUAUAAAUUCUUUUACUCUAGAGAACUCUAAUUAAAAUAACAGGCAUACUAGUUAAGACUAUGGAUUAAAAGUUUGUGCUUCUCCAAUUUCUCUUCCUAGUCUAGUUUCAGAUUUCUCUGUGUCCAAUCAUAUUGCCUUCUAUGUCCUAUGGUCUUCCAAACUGUCUUGACUUCCAAUUGAGUGUGAUCAAAACAGAAGACUGAGAAAAGUCAGAACAUUA